rnacentral:rRNA from 1 species
CGAAGUGAGUGGCGAACGGGUGAGUAACACGUGGGUAACCUGCCCAGAAGUAGGGGAUAACACCUGGAAACAGAUGCUAAUACCGUAUAACAGAGAAAACCGCAUGGUUUUCUUUUAAAAGAUGGCUCUGCUAUCACUUCUGGAUGGACCCGCGGCGUAUUAGCUAGUUGGUGAGGUAAAGGCUCACCAAGGCAGUGAUACGUAGCCGACCUGAGAGGGUAAUCGGCCACAUUGGGACUGAGACACGGCCCAGACUCCUACGGGAGGCAGCAGUAGGGAAUCUUCCACAAUGGACGCAAGUCUGAUGGAGCAACGCCGCGUGAGUGAAGAAGGGUUUCGGCUCGUAAAGCUCUGUUGUUAAAGAAGAACGUGGGUAAGAGUAACUGUUUACCCAGUGACGGUAUUUAACCAGAAAGCCACGGCUAACUACGUGCCAGCAGCCGCGGUAAUACGUAGGUGGCAAGCGUUAUCCGGAUUUAUUGGGCGUAAAGCGAGCGCAGGCGGUCUUUUAAGUCUAAUGUGAAAGCCUUCGGCUCAACCGAAGAAGUGCAUUGGAAACUGGGAGACUUGAGUGCAGAAGAGGACAGUGGAACUCCAUGUGUAGCGGUGAAAUGCGUAGAUAUAUGGAAGAACACCAGUGGCGAAGGCGGCUGUCUGGUCUGCAACUGACGCUGAGGCUCGAAAGCAUGGGUAGCGAACAGGAUUAGAUACCCUGGUAGUCCAUGCCGUAAACGAUGAUUACUAAGUGUUGGAGGGUUUCCGCCCUUCAGUGCUGCAGCUAACGCAUUAAGUAAUCCGCCUGGGGAGUACGACCGCAAGGUUGAAACUCAAAAGAAUUGACGGGGGCCCGCACAAGCGGUGGAGCAUGUGGUUUAAUUCGAAGCUACGCGAAGAACCUUACCAGGUCUUGACAUCUUCUGACAGUCUAAGAGAUUAGAGGUUCCCUUCGGGGACAGAAUGACAGGUGGUGCAUGGUUGUCGUCAGCUCGUGUCGUGAGAUGUUGGGUUAAGUCCCGCAACGAGCGCAACCCUUAUUACUAGUUGCCAGCAUUAAGUUGGGCACUCUAGUGAGACUGCCGGUGACAAACCGGAGGAAGGUGGGGACGACGUCAAAUCAUCAUGCCCCUUAUGACCUGGGCUACACACGUGCUACAAUGGAUGGUACAACGAGUCGCGAGACCGCGAGGUUAAGCUAAUCUCUUAAAACCAUUCUCAGUUCGGACUGUAGGCUGCAACUCGCCUACACGAAGUCGGAAUCGCUAGUAAUCGCGGAUCAGCAUGCCGCGGUGAAUACGUUCCCGGGCCUUGUACACACCGCCCGUCACACCAUGAGAGUUUGUAACACCCAAAGCCGGU